rnacentral:rRNA from 1 species
UACGGAGGGUGCAAGCGUUGUUCGGAAUUACUGGGCGUAAAGCGCGCGUAGGCGGCUUUUUAAGUCAGAUGUGAAAGUCCACGGCUCAACCGUGGAAGUGCAUUUGAAACUGGAAAGCUUGAGUAUUAGAGGGGACAGUGGAAUUCCAGGUGUAGAGGUGAAAUUCGUAGAUAUCUGGAGGAAUACCGGUGGCGAAGGCGACUGUCUGGCUAAAUACUGACGCUGAGGUGCGAAAGCGUGGGGAGCGAACAGG